AGGUUAAGCUACAAAGGGCGCACGGUGGAUGCCUUGGCGCUAGGAGCCGAUGAAGGACGUGGCGAACGACGAAAUGCUUCGGGGAGCUGUAAGCAAGCUUUGAUCCGGAGAUGUCCGAAUGGGGGAACCCACGAUUCGUAAUGGGAUCGUACUCUUGUCUGAAUCCAUAGGGCAAGGAGAGGCAUACCAGGGGAACUGAAACAUCUAAGUACCCUGAGGAAGAGAAAACAAUAGUGAUUCCGUCAGUAGCGGCGAGCGAACGCGGAGUAGCCCAAACCAGAAGGUUCGCCUUCUGGGGUUGUAGGGCGUCUCACAUGGAGUGAUAAAAGACAGUCAUAGACGAAGCGGUCUGGAAAGGCCCAUCAGAGAAGGUAACAAUCCUGUAGUUGAAAUGGCUGUCUCUCCGAGACGUACCCUGAGUAGGGCGGGACACGUGAAACCCCGUCUGAAUCCGGGAGGACCAUCUCCCAAGGCUAAAUACUCCCUAGCGACCGAUAGUGAACCAGUACCGUGAGGGAAAGGUGAAAAGCACCCCGGGAGGGGAGUGAAAGAGAACCUGAAACCGUGUGCCUACAACUAGUCGGAGCACGUUUACUGUGUGACGGCGUGCCUUUUGUAGAAUGAACCGGCGAGUUACGGUUGCGUGCAAGGUUAAGUCAGAUAAGACGGAGCCGCAGCGAAAGCGAGUCUGAAUAGGGCGAAUGAGUACGUAGCCGUAGACCCGAAACCGUGUGAUCUACCCAUGUCCAGGGUGAAGGUGCGGUAACACGCACUGGAGGCCCGAACCCACGCACGUUGAAAAGUGCGGGGAUGAGGUGUGGGUAGCGGAGAAAUUCCAAUCGAACUCGGAGAUAGCUGGUUCUCCCCGAAAUAGCUUUAGGGCUAGCCUCGGAUGCCUGUACUGGAGGUAGAGCACUGAUUGGAUGCGGGCCCCUCGCGGGGUACCAAAUUCAGUCAAACUCCGAAUGCCAGAUACAGACGGUCCGGGAGUCAGACUGCGAGUGCUAAGAUCCGUAGUCAAAAGGGAAACAGCCCAGAUCACCAGCUAAGGUCCCUAAAUGUACGCUAAGUGGGAAACGAUGUGGAGUUGCCCAGACAACCAGGAUGUUGGCUUAGAAGCAGCCACCAUUUAAAGAGUGCGUAAUAGCUCACUGGUCGAGUGACUCUGCGCGGAAAAUGUAACGGGGCUAAGCGUACUACCGAAGCUGUGGAUUGACACCGUUGGUGUCAGUGGUAGGGGAGCGUUCCUGCAGCAGUGAAGUCAGACCGGAAGGACUGGUGGAGCGGCAGGAAGUGAGAAUGCCGGUGUAAGUAGCGAAAAGAGAGGUGAGAAUCCUCUCCGCCGAAAGCCUAAGGGUUCCUGAGGAAGGCUCGUCCUCUCAGGGUUAGUCGGGACCUAAGCCGAGGCCGAAAGGCGUAGGCGAUGGACAACAGGUGGAAAUUCCUGUACUACCUCCACUCCGCCCAGCCCUUUAUAUAAUGAGGGGCCCCAUGAAAGUAAUUGAGUUGCUGCAAAGCAUUCCAUCACUUUCAUGGGCAUAGCGACGGGGGGACGCAGGAGGGUAGGGUGAGCAGACUGUUGGAUAUGUCUGUCCAAGCAGUGAGGCGUGUGUGUAGGCAAAUCCGCACACUGUAACGCCAGGCUGUGAUGGCGAGCGAAAUAUGAAGUAGCGAAGUCCCUGAUCUCACACUGCCAAGAAAAGCCUCUAGCGAGGAGUGAGGUACCCGUACCGCAAACCGACACAGGUAGGCGAGGAGAGAAUCCUAAGGCGCGCGAGAAAACUCUUGCUAAGGAACUCGGCAAAAUGACCCCGUAACUUCGGGAGAAGGGGUGCCCCGGUAGCGUGUCAAAGCGCGAGGGGGCCGCAGUGAAAAGGCCCAAGCGACUGUUUAGCAAAAACACAGGUCUCUGCGAAGCCGCAAGGCGAAGUAUAGGGGCUGACGCCUGCCCGGUGCUGGAAGGUUAAGGGGAAAGGUUAGCACCUUCGGUGCGAAGCUUUGAACCGAAGCCCCAGUAAACGGCGGCCGUAACUAUAACGGUCCUAAGGUAGCGAAAUUCCUUGUCGGGUAAGUUCCGACCCGCACGAAAGGCGUAACGACUUGGGCACUGUCUCGGCAAGAGACUCGGUGAAAUCAUACUACCUGUGAAGAUGCAGGUUACCCGCGACAAGACGGAAAGACCCCAUGGAGCUUUACUGUAGUUUGAUAUUGUAGAUUGGUGCAUGCUGUACAGGAUAGGAGGGAGACUGCGAAACUCGGGCGCCAGCCUGGGUGGAGUCGCCGUUGGGAUACCUCCCUGCGUGUACCGAUCUUCUAACCUCGUGCCGUGAUCCGGUACAGGGACAGUGUCAGAUGGGCAGUUUGACUGGGGCGGUCGCCUCCUAAAAGGUAACGGAGGCGCCCAAAGGUUCCCUCAGAAUGGUUGGAAAUCAUUCGCAGAGUGUAAAGGCACAAGGGAGCUUGACUGCGAGACCUACAAGUCGAGCAGGGACGAAAGUCGGGCUUAGUGAUCCGGUGGUUCCGCAUGGAAGGGCCAUCGCUCAACGGAUAAAAGCUACCCUGGGGAUAACAGGCUUAUCUCCCCCAAGAGUCCACAUCGACGGGGAGGUUUGGCACCUCGAUGUCGGCUCAUCGCAUCCUGGAGCUGAAGUAGGUUCCAAGGGUUGGGCUGUUCGCCCAUUAAAGCGGUACGCGAGCUGGGUUCAGAACGUCGUGAGACAGUUCGGUCCCUAUCUGUCGUGGGCGCAGGAAAUUUGAGAGGAGCUGUCCUUAGUACGAGAGGACCGGGAUGGACGCACCGCUGGUGCACCAGUUGUUCCGCCAGGAGCACAGCUGGGUAGCUAUGUGCGGCCGGGAUAAGCGCUGAAAGCAUCUAAGCGUGAAGCCCCCCUCAAGAUGAGAUUUCCCACAGCAUAAGCUGGUAAGACCCCUUAUAGAUGAUGAGGUAGAUAGGUUCGAGGUGGAAGCGUGGCAACACGCGGAGCUGACGAAUACUAAUCGGUCGAGGGCUUAACCAAG
rnacentral:rRNA from 1 species